GGGUCUUAGCUCAGCAUUAGGACAUCUGCUUUGCAUGCAGAGGGUCUGAGGUUCAAUCCCCAGCAUCUCCA